AAAAAUUGGAUGAUAAUAUAUGGUAUAAUAAUCUUUAAAAAAUGUUAACUUUAUACGUACAAUACUGUUAAAUAAAUUGACAAUUUCCUAACCUAAACUAGUCUAAAAGGCCAAUAAUGGUUAGCCAUGCUCAUGGGCUAUGCCACCCGUCUAGACCUGAUGCCCUAUCCAAAAAUUGAGAGGGUUUGGACAAAACUAUGAAACACAAAAAAUGGGCUCGGGUAAUGUACAAGCCCAAUUUACGGGCCCAACUAACCCAACUAAAAUCUAACCCAGACCCAGACCCAAUAGAAGCCCACUAAAGACCCAAAUAACCCCAAAACCUACUAAACCCAAAACCCAACAGCAGCCCAAUUCAAACCCUAAAACGAAAAGAACAACAAACCCUAGCUGCUGCCUCCCUGUCUCAUCCACCACCGAUGCCUGCAAGCACCGCCACUGUGCCACCGCCCCACUUGCACCUGCAACAUUAAAUGUGGAGAAUAGGCCGAUAUAAAAAAACAAAGGCAUGUAAAUGGCUAUUUAAAAGCUGAAUGAAAAACCAUUUUUUUCGGCACUUUUGAUGAAAUGAUAAGCAAUAUUAGAAUUUAAAAAAAGCAGAACAAGAGAUCCCAGCAAUAUUAAUAACAGGAAUACCGAGAAGCAAAGUUUAAUAACCUAAGGUGAUUAUUUUUUUUUCUUUCUUUUUUCUUAUUUUUUUUCUUUUUCAAAUCAUUGACGGGCAUUAAUAUAUAUACACAUUAGAGAUACACAUAAAAGAAGUAUAUAAAAAAGGGAAGAAAAAAUAAACAUACCUUUUCCAUCUGCACGGUGGCCGGCACAGCGGAGGGCACAGUGGUACUCGACUGAGCCAGUGCCGGAGACCGAGGCCAAAGAUAGAUAGGGGGAGAGGAUUCGAUUUUUUUGAAA
rnacentral:lncRNA from 1 species